GACGGAGGGUGCAAGCGUUGUUCGGAUUGACUGGGCGUAAAGGGCGUGUAGGCGGUCGGUCAAGUCUGGUGUGAAAGCCCGGGGCUCAGCUCCGGAAGUGCAUCGGAAACUAGCUGGCUGGAGCGCGAUAGAGGAGGGCGGAAUUCCUGGUGUAGCGGUGAAAUGCGUAGAUAUCAGGAGGAACACCUGUGGCGAAAGCGGCUCACUGGACCAUAACUGACGCUGAUGCACGAAAGCUAGGGGAGCAAACAGG
rnacentral:rRNA from 1 species